CGUGUAGGCGGUUUGGUAAGUCUGAUGUGAAAGCCCUGGGCUCAACCCGGGAAGUGCAUUGGAAACUGUCAGACUUGAAUACGGGAGAGGGCAGUGGAAUUCCUGGUGUAGGAGUGAAAUCCGUAGAUAUCAGGAGGAACACCGGUGGCGAAGGCGGCUGCCUGGACCGAUAUUGACGCUGAGACGCGAAAGCGUGGGUAGCAAACAGGAUUAGAUACCCUGGUAGUCCACGCCGUAAACGAUGAGUACUAGGUGUUGCGGGUAUUGACCCCUGCAGUGCCGCAGCUAACGCAUUAAGUACUCCGCCUGGGAAGUACGGUCGCAAGACUAA
rnacentral:rRNA from 1 species